GUUCUGUUUUGAAACUAAUAAUUCAGAUUUCAGACAUAAACACAAGAAGAAUGCUUGUAAAGUUGAAACAUGAAAGCCUAAAUCAGCACCGACGCACAAUGAGAAAAGUCCUAAUGAUGAGCUAAUCACAGAUUUGCCUUUCUUUGUUGAUAGCUAAUCUAACGGUCAGAAUUGCAUCAAUGCCAGUCUAAUUCCUAGCUUUUCA
rnacentral:misc_RNA from 1 species